rnacentral:antisense_RNA from 1 species
UCAAUGGUGGCGUUGGUGAGGCAGCUUUCGGGCUGGCUGGAUUCCAGUAACUCCAGUAGUGCAAACCUUGCCAACGUCAUCACCC